rnacentral:rRNA from 1 species
GAUGAACGCUGGCGGCGUGCCUAAUACAUGCAAGUCGAGCGAACGGACGAGAAGCUUGCUUCUCUGAUGUUAGCGGCGGACGGGUGAGUAACACGUGGAUAACCUACCUAUAAGACUGGGAUAACUUCGGGAAACCGGAGCUAAUACCGGAUAAUAUUUUGAACCGCAUGGUUCAAAAGUGAAAGACGGUCUUGCUGUCACUUAUAGAUGGAUCCGCGCUGCAUUAGCUAGUUGGUAAGGUAACGGCUUACCAAGGCAACGAUGCAUAGCCGACCUGAGAGGGUGAUCGGCCACACUGGAACUGAGACACGGUCCAGACUCCUACGGGAGGCAGCAGUAGGGAAUCUUCCGCAAUGGGCGAAAGCCUGACGGAGCAACGCCGCGUGAGUGAUGAAGGUCUUCGGAUCGUAAAACUCUGUUAUUAGGGAAGAACAUAUGUGUAAGUAACUGUGCACAUCUUGACGGUACCUAAUCAGAAAGCCACGGCUAACUACGUGCCAGCAGCCGCGGUAAUACGUAGGUGGCAAGCGUUAUCCUGAAUUAUUGGGCGUAAAGCGCGCGUAGGCGGUUUUUCAAGUCUGAUGUGAAAGCCCACGGCUCAACCGUGGAGGGUCAUUGGAAACUGGAAAACUUGAGUGCAGAAGAGGAAAGUGGAAUUCCAUGUGUAGCGGUGAAAUGCGCAGAGAUAUGGAGGAACACCAGUGGCGAAGGCGACUUUCUGGUCUGUAACUGACGCUGAUGUGCGAAAGCGUGGGGAUCAAACAGGAUUAGAUACCCUGGUAGUCCACGCCGUAAACGAUGAGUGCUAAGUGUUAGGGGGUUUCCGCCCCUUAGUGCUGCAGCUAACGCAUUAAGCACUCCGCCUGGGGAGUACGACCGCAAGGUUGAAACUCAAAGGAAUUGACGGGGACCCGCACAAGCGGUGGAGCAUGUGGUUUAAUUCGAAGCAACGCGAAGAACCUUACCAAAUCUUGACAUCCUUUGACAACUCUAGAGAUAGAGCCUUCCCCUUCGGGGGGCAAAGUGACAGGUGGUGCAUGGUUGUCGUCAGCUCGUGUCGUGAGAUGUUGGGUUAAGUCCCGCAACGAGCGCAACCCUUAAGCUUAGUUGCCAUCAUUAAGUUGGGCACUCUAAGUUGACUGCCGGUGACAAACCGGAGGAAGGUGGGGAUGACGUCAAAUCAUCAUGCCCCUUAUGAUUUGGGCUACACACGUGCUACAAUGGACAAUACAAAGGGCAGCGAAACCGCGAGGUCAAGCAAAUCCCAUAAAGUUGUUCUCAGUUCGGAUUGUAGUCUGCAACUCGACUACAUGAAGCUGGAAUCGCUAGUAAUCGUAGAUCAGCAUGCUACGGUGAAUACGUUCCCGGGUCU